GCGCGGCCAGGCAGGUGGGCGGCCGUGAGCGUGCCGGGGUCGGUGGCGGCGAGCGCCGCCCGGAACGCGCGUUCCAGCACCGCGCGCGGCGCG
rnacentral:tRNA from 1 species